rnacentral:rRNA from 1 species
UACGUAGGCAGCGAGCGUUGUUCGGAAUUACUGGGCGUAAAGAGUGUGUAGGCGGGAGGGCACGUCCGUCGCUGAAAUCCCCCGGCUCAACCGGGGAACGGGCGCGGAUACGACCUUCCUGGAGGGGCGUAGGGGGACCUGGAACUUCCGGUGGAGCGGUGAAAUGCGUUGAGAUCGGAAGGAACGCCCGUGGCGAAAGCGAGGUCCUGGACGCCUACUGACGCUGAGACGCGAAAGCCAGGGGAGCGAACGGG